AUAGAAACAUUUCUCGGUGUCCGGUUUGGGUUGAGACCCAACUUUUUAACUUGACUGGAUGUCUAUUGAAAAGUAGCAUCACAGAGGGUGAAAAUCCUGUAACAGUCGGGCUUAACUAGUUGUAGGUCCAACCUAGCGAGUAGAGUUGUUUGAAAUUGCAACUCGAAGCUGGAGAUAUGUCUCUCCAAAAGCUAAUUAUAAAGUGAGACCGAUAGCAAACAAGUACCGUGAGGGAAAGUUGAAAAGCACUCUGAAGAGAGAGUGAAAAGUACGUGAAACUGUUGAAGGAGAACUGAAUAGUACGUUACCAUGCCCAAAAGCCUUGAUCUUGUGUCUCGGUAAAAGGGUGGAGUAGUUGAAGUCGCUUGGCAUUGUUAAAGCAUACAAGCAUCUGUACUUCUUCGGAAGACGCAGAAUGUUGUCAAUCAUAACAAAAGGUUUAUACAAACUUUUUUGCCUGUCUGACUCUCAACUUCCAUUCAAUGUGCUAUCCAGCCCGUCUUGAAACACGGACCAAGGAGUGUGUGUUGCCUGCAAGUGGUUGCGCGCUUGAAAGCGUAAACGCGAAAUGAAAGUGAUUGGUGCAAUGUUUAUGCAAUGUACUACUUCGUGGGUGAGAACGCCUAUAUGGUGUUUUGCAGUCACGGGCGGUUUUGUUAUUAGUCGCAUAACCGAUCCAGAGCAGGUAGCACACGACCCGAAAGAUGGUGAUCUAUGCUUGGGCGGGGUGAAGCCACGGGAAACCAUGGUGGAGGCCCGAAACGGUUCUGACGUGCAAAUCGAUCGUCUGACCUGAGCAUAGGGGCGAAAGACUAAUCGAACCAUCUAGUUGCUGGUUCCCUCCGAAGUUUCCCUCAGGAUAGCUAAAACUUGAUCUAAAUGAAUUUAUUCGUUUAGCAAUUUCAUCGGAUAAAGCGAAUGAUUAGAGGAAUGGGGAAAAUCUUUUUCUUCACCUAUUCUCAAACUUUAAAUCGGUGAGAUGUCCUUGUGACUUAAUUGCACUUGGACUUUGAAUGCAAGUUUUUAGUGGGCCGUUUUUGGUAAGCAGAACCGGCGAUGUGGGAUGAACCAAAAGUUGGGUUAAGGCGCCUAACUACUUGCUCAUGAGCAACCAGAAAAGGCGUUGAUUGAUAUUGACAGCAGGACGGUGGCCAUGGAAGUCGGAAUCCGCUAAGGAGUGUGUAACAACUCACCUGCCGAAUCAAUCAGCCCUGAAAAUGGAUGGCACUAGAGCUCGUGGCCUAUACCCAACCGUGAACAUCAAUGUCCGACUAACGUUGGAAUUGAAUAAAAAGUGGACUCUUCGGAGACUACAUAAAUUAUGUUCACGAGUAGGAGGGCGCAUUGGUUGCACUGAAGUACAUGCGUGAGCGUGUGCUCGAAGCGGCCAAUGGAGCAGAUCUUGGUGGAAGUAGCAAGUACUCAAAUGAGAGCUUUGAGGACUGAAGCGGGAAAGGUUUUCAUGUGAACAGCAUUUGCACAUGAGUUAGUCGAUUCUAAAAGACAGGCUAAUGCCGUAGUCUUGAAAGGUGGUUUCUUGUAAACUGCUUUGUCUCGAAAGAGCAUCGGGUUAAAAUUCCCGAACUGAUUCUAUCGGCUAUAACGGUGGUAACACCAGUGAUUUCCAAUUUGUCGGUGGGACCUUGGCGAAGAGUUAUCUUUUCUUUAUAAUACGUAGUAGAGUCCUUGGAAUUGAUUCAAUCAGAGAUAAGGCUCGAACCGUGCAAGAGCACAGCAGCAUUUGCUGUGUGCCAAUUGUUCUCACUGACGCCUAAAAGUUGGAUCUAACUAUGCCGGUAGAAUCAAUCGUACCGAUUACCGCAUCAGGUCCCCCAAGGUGAAAAGCCU
rnacentral:rRNA from 1 species